rnacentral:rRNA from 1 species
UACAGAGGUCCCAAGCGUUGUUCGGAUUCACUGGGCGUAAAGGGUGCGUAGGCGGUCGGGUAAGUCUGAUGUGAAAUCUCACAGCUUAACUGUGAAACUGCAUUGGAUACUAUCCGGCUCGAGGAACGGAGGGGAGACUGGAAUACUUGGUGUAGCAGUGAAAUGCGUAGAUAUCAAGUGGAACACCAGUGGCGAAGGCGAGUCUCUGGACAUUUCCUGACGCUGAGGCACGAAAGCCAGGGGAGCAAACGGG